AACCGCGGUUAGACGAGAGGCCCAAAUGGAUAUCAACGGCGUAAAGCGUGAUUAAAGAGUAAAGAAACUAAAGCCAAACCUCCCCUUAGCCGUUAUAAACUAACGGGAAAGUGAAGUCCACUAACGAAAGUAGCUUUAAAAUGAUUGAAUUCACGACAGUUAGGGUA
rnacentral:rRNA from 1 species